CUCGAGGUUGAAAUCGAGUCAUGAUUAAUGAUCAACGUUCACCUUUACCUUGAAUCCACCUGCUCAAGCUACUAUUGUAAGCGAGCCCUCACCUCGCUAUUGCUGACAAAAGAUUGCAGAAGCUCAACUGAGGCCACUUGGAGCAGAUGCUGACUACCAGAAGUCUGCGACCCAUUGACUUCAACAGACAUCUUCCCUGGUGAUGAGGAGACAAGAUGUUGCUGUACGCCUCAGAACUCAUCCCGAUGUCAGCAGUUACAUCAUCAAUCAUCAUCAAUGAAGAAAGUGCUCUUCUAGCCAUCACUCUGGUAUAGUACAUGUUUAUCUUUCUCUCAUCAGGCCACAAUACUUUUUUCUAGAAUUCUGCAUGCUCAAUUAGGUGCAUUGUAGAACCUCUUGUUUUUGCACCUUGCUUUCCUGCCUUCUUAGUUCACCUGGUUAAGUGUUCUGCAUAUUGUAGCGUCUGGCGGACAGUGUCUCAAACCCGUGACCCGGAGCUCCCCAGGUGGACGCACUAGCCACCGCUCCAAAUAGGGACGUCCAAUUUGGAAGGGCGAGUAGUGGUCAUACCAAGGUGCCUGCAGUAUGAUAGUGUCUCACACAUCCACAUCUACUUCCUGGACAGUGUUCCUGAUAUGGCAGACUGUCUUUCUUUUUUUGCAUUGUAAUGUGAUUUAUGUAGCACAAUCUGCUCUCUCUUACCAUUUCAUUUGAAUGAAGUGUCUAAUGUGAGUUAUACAGCACAAGUUGUUCUCUCUUACCAUUGUAUGCGAACAAAGUGUAUAAUGUGAUUUAUAUAGCACAAGCUGUUCUCUGUUACAAAUUCAUGAGAGCGAAGUGUGUAAUGUGAUUUCUAUAGCACAGGUUGUUCUCUCUUACCAUGUGAAUGUAGUGUGUAAUGUGAUUUAUAUAGCACAGGCUGUUCUCUCUUACCAUAUGAAUGUAGUGUGUAAUGUGAUUUAUAUAGCACAGGCUGUUCUCUCUUACCAUGUGAAUGUAGUUUGUAAUGUGAUUUAUAUAGCACAGGCUGUUCUCUCUUACCAUGUGAAUGUAGUUUGUAAUGUGAUUUAUAUAGCACAGGCUGUUCUCUCUUACCAUGUGAAUGUAGUUUGUAAUGUGAUUUAUAUAGCACAGGCUGUUCUCUCUUACCAUGUGAAUGUAGUGUGUAAUGUGAUUUAUAUAGCACAGGCUGUUCUCUCUUACCAUGUGAAUGUAGUGUGUAAUGUGAUUUAUAUAGCACAGGCUGUUCUCUCUUACCAUGUGAAGUGAAGUGUGCAUCGAGAAUGACGACAGCAUCAAGCCUUAAGACGUUGCUGUUAAUUAUCCUACAUUAAAUUUGUCAAUCAUGACUGG
ensembl:lncRNA